rnacentral:lncRNA from 1 species
UGAAAAAUGCCUGAGUUGGAGUUAGCUAAAUGGAGGUGUGGUUGAGUGAGAGGGGCCAUGAUUAGCAAAAGAAAGAGCUUGAGCCAAGAGGUGAAAGCAAGAAAGUGUAUCCUGAAGGACAUAGAAGGGACAAGAGGCAGGAAGGCUUUCUCUGGUAUCCUAAAGAGUUUGGGCUUGACCCUGGAUGGAGAACUGCUAGGAGAAUUUGGGUAAGGCAAAGACACAACUAUUACAUUUUAGAAAAAAAUGAUACCACUGGCAAUACAGAAAAUGUAUCAAAGUUGAAGCCACUGGGUACAUCAUGGUUCAAGUCGCUGAGAAUGAGAACUGAUAGAGACCUAAGGGGGUGGCAAGUAGAGGGGAAUUCAUGAUGAACUCAGUUUGGAAUAUGUUGAAUUCACAUAUUCAGAGAAAUGUUUAGGGUAGUGGGGAAGACAAGAUUUGGGCAUAAGAGAGAGAAGAAAAAUUUGAGAGGUUGAGAUUGUGCAGUGCUUUAUCAUAGCAUGUAUGAUCUCUUGACACAUUCUUUAUUUCAUGUCUUCCCUGACUAGAAAUAAACUUCACGAGGGUGAGAACUUUGCUUUAUUUCCACCAUCUAGAACUGUGCCUGAACCACAGGGAGCACUCAGGAAAAAUUUACUGAAAAGAUGAAUUAUUCAGAAUUGUAGUUGAAAAGGUGUCUUCAGAGGAGUUUACUUACAUGCAGUGGACAUGAAAUAGGGCAUAGAGUGAAACCGUAGGCAAAACAUUGGGUGGAUAAUGUCAUUUGAUGCCAAAAAAGAAGCACUGAGGAAUUAGGAAAAACAAGAGAUAAUGAGGUCCCAGGUGACAAUGGAAGCAGUUGUGGAAAACUGCUUUAAAUGUCAUAGAGCACUCAGAAGGAAUUCAUAAAUGACCUCAUAAAGAAGUCCACUGUGGUUUCCCUGCAGAGGUGGGAAUAGAAUCAGAGUGCUAAGGAUUGAGGGAUUAAGAGGAGGUGAUUGUAUUAUUCCUCUUUUCAGAUAAUGGAGAGAGAGAAGAGAACAGCAGUAGCCGUUGCCAGAAAUAUUGAGCAAGGCGGAUUUAUUAGAUGAAGAUAUCAAAAUACUUUCCAUUGAGGAAACAGGUUGGAGGUGGGAGGCUGUAACCAUGCUUGAUUUUGUACCACCCUAACCUUUGCUUGUAAGUAUACUUUUUGAAAACCCAUUUUAUUGAACUGAAAUGUAUUUUGUUCUGAAGGGUUGAAAAAGGCUAAAGAAGUGGGAAGGAAUUUUUGUUAAACCUUAUACAAUAAGGGAAAAUUUUCCAGCAACAUGGAAAGACAUCAGAAUUGAAAUCCUAGUGAACUACUAACUAUGUGAAAUGGACAAGUGGCUUAUUAUUCCAAUUUUACAGAAAAGAAAAAUGAGACAUAAAUGUUAACAUCUAUGUGUAUGAUGAUUACGUGAGAUAAAUUUGGGUCUCUAUUUUGAGUGUUUUGUGGGCAGGAAUGGAUUAGGACUUUCUAAAAUAUUAAAUGGGCCAAUCUAAAUAUGUGAUCAAAAUUUUUCAGAGGUAUAUUUUGUGGUAUUUACAGCAAGAUGAGAAUGUAUUUUAAAUUGAUCUUUGAUCAUAUUUUUAUCUUUUAAACAUGUUCUGCCUCAUUUUCUCUGUAAUAAUAACUAUAAUUAUAUCCAUUCCUCAUUAUAAAGCUGCUCUUUUUUCUUUUCUGACAUUCUGCCUUCAUCGACUAAUGGUGGUGAGGCUACUACCUCCUGAGGUUACUUAUAAAAUUAAAGCGAUUGGGAAGGAAUGUUACAUGCAGUCCACAUUGUAUGUGAUACCGAGAGGAGACAGGAGGGCAGAGUCCCUGAUGAGAGCUCCACCCUUAAGCCUGGACCCGUGGCCCUGAAUGAGAACAGGCAUUGCUGCUUUCCUGCCCAAAGGCUGCUUUUUCCAAAACCACCGUGGCCCACCAUGUCCCCUAUCCUGUACCUAUAAAAACCCCAAACUCCACUGGCAGAGGAAUAGAGUGGCACAGCAGAGAAGGAAAGAAUAGAAGUGUCUGAAUGUCAAAGAGGGAGCUGGACAGUCAGAGAGGAGUUUGGCUGGGGACAGCUGAGCUCCAGGGGAAGAUCAUCUUCCCACUCCAUCCCCUUUCCAGCCCCCCAACCCACAAAGAGCCACCUCCAUCAUUCAGUAAAACCUCUGCAUUCACCAUCCUUCAAGUCCAUGUGACCUGAUUCUUCUUGUACUCUGGACAAAAAUCCAGGUUCCAAGAGGGCAGGGUAUAUGUCACCCUGAUUCUCCACGGGACUGUUUAACACUUAGCCCUCUGUGGACAGCAACUGCUAAAAGAGCAUUAAUUGUAACACAUGCCCUCUGGGGCUCCAGAGGUUGUGCGCAACUGCUAGAUGCUGCCCCUGGCGCCCAAAGGCACUAGCCCUGGUUCCCAUACCCACUUACCUGCAUGCUCCCACUCCUGCAAGGGGCUUGAGUUCAGCAACAAAGCAAAACAAGCUACCACCAACCCUCCACACCCUCCCUGUGGCAAGACUCGCAAGAGGGUCAGGGAACUCUCCCCCGUCAUAUGCGUUAUUCCAGUUUAGUUACCUACAAAAUAAACUUGCCAGAAUUAGUGUUUACUACAUAAGCUAAGCACCUAUUUCAACAUGUGUGAGCUUCUAAAAAGCAAAUCAAUGCUCUUCUGUCCAAUUUUGGCCAAGGCUUCAUGAUCUCUUUCCUUAAAACAUCAACUUAAAUUUUACCAUUACUUUUCUCUCUUCCUUCCCCUUAUCCUAUUUAACUAUUAUUAGAGACAUUUUAAAAAAAUUCCUUUCCUUUUCCAUGCUUGGUUUCCUCAAUAGCGAUUUUAUAUAGAAAACAUUUGACAUUAUAGUCUAGCUUUUCAUAGUUAAAAUUAAAUAUUUCAUUAAAAAGAGGAGUCUAUUUUUUCAGACUUGUAGGGCUCUGGGAAGUGGACUUAUGAAAAAAAUGACUUUGUAUUUAUUUACAGAUAAAUAACCAUGUGUCUGUAAUUAGUAAGAGAUCCACUGUAUGUAAUUUAUCUUUUUCUUAUGUGUUACCUGUUAAAGAUGACCUUGUGUUUCCCGACAUGCUGUCAAGUGAAAGAUUUUGUAAGAAUCCUUCUAUAUUCCUACAUUAUUUUAUUGCAUUGCUCAUCAAUUUUGCAUUUUCUCCCUCUCUUAUGAUCCUAGCCUUUCCUUUAUUAGAAGUAAUUAUCUAGUUCAUAGAAAAUUGUUUAAUUUGGUUAUUUUCAUUACUUCAAAGAGAAAUUCUAAUGUAGAACGAUUUGUUUAUAUAUCUCUUGCAGACUCAAAAUACACACCACUAUUAUAAAAACCUUCCCUGCCUAGCUCAUAUUUCCCCCGACUCCUACCCCAUGGUUCCCUAGCUUAUUGAAUGUACUCAUAGCAUCUCUUUUAGUCUGUAUUGCUAUCAUGUGUUUUUCUAAUCUGUUCCCCAUAGUAACAGUGAAAUCCUUGAGGGCACGAGUCUUAUCUUUUUCAACUCUAUUUUCAGCACCUCGCAUUGUGAGUUGGUGUAAGUAGUUCAGUAAAUAACUGUAGAUGUCAAAAUAAAUAAAUGUCAGCUAAUUUUUAUGUAUAUUCAAAGAUAAAAUUUUAUUUAUUGUCAUAAUUACCUUUACCCAAUCUAUUUUUUAUUGUUUGUUUCAAAUUACACCAAUAAAAAUGUGACAAUAACCAUGCUCAUCCUUAGACUAACACCAAUGUUUAGAAGCAGUUUCACCAUAUAGUUCCAUUUUUAAAAAAUUCUAAAUAUUUGCUAUAUUCUUUAAUUGAGUCUUCCCAAAGCAAUCUUUGAACUAAUUGUUGGUUUCUCAGAUUUCUAUUUUGUUAUCUUUAAGACACUCUUUAAAUCUCAUCAAAAAUCUUCAUGGAAAUUAAUUACAUUGUACCCAAACGUUAUAAAAUCUUACCAUUUAAAGAUACUUUAGAGUUCAUUUGAACUAUUCUUCAAAGAAUUAGCAAUGAAGUUCUUUUGGAUUGAUUGAUAUUCAUGUACCCAAGAAAGAUAGGUAGAAUAUUAAUUCAUUUUAUUAUUUCCAAAGAGAAGGUGUGAAAAUAAACUAGAACACAGUUGAGUUGGCAGAACUGAGUUUGUGUUUACAAAACUGAAAAGGCUGGACCACAAUGUGGUUUACUGGUGAUAUAUUAAUUUAGAUAACAAUUAAAUCUCGGAGACUUACCAUAUUGAAAGUUUAUUUUUUGGUUUACACAAAUCUGAUAUACUGGAUAGGGGCUUUUCUCCUUUCAUUUACUCAAGGAUCCAGGUUCCAGUCCAAUAUGCACCAUUCAGCCUGGUUGCAGCAUGUUAAGCAGCCCUGGAGGCAGCAGAUGAGGGAUCCUAUGAAGCAACUUUCAGACAUUCAGAACCAAGACAAAAAAAAAGAGAAUUAAAGUAAAAUAUGAUGUACCCAGGAGUUACAUCAGUGAACCAAAUACAGCCUCAAAUUUCGAUCUGUGCUUCACAGCAGCCAGCAAAAAGAACAAAACAUAUUUUGUUAGUUCAUAUAAAUAAAUAAAUUAAAAAUGCAUGAAUAAAUAAAUAAAGCAAACCAGUUUCUCGAUUCUGAAAUAUUUUCUGGAAGUGAGAACUGAAAGGAAUUUCCACCAUGGACCCACAAGCAGUUGUUGGUGGCAUAUAUAAUGAGUGCUGGGUGUUAAGGAAGCAAUGGUGAAGGAGAGACACCCUCCCGACCCUCAUGGUGCUUGCAGCCUAGUGGAGCUAUGAAAAGAUAGGCAAGUGAGUCCUAUGAUUGGAGAAGUAAUGAGAAGUAAUGAGAAGCGUCUUCUAAGCAUAGGGGUAAAGACUGCAAAGACCCUGAAGGGAGAAAGUAAUGGCCAUUCUGAGAACUGAAAGUUUGCACAGUGCACAGAGGGCAUGAAGAACGAAGGAAAGAGAUUUUUUUUUUUUUUUUUUUGCCCAAGAUGGCAAGUUGCUUAAAACCUAAAGCUCCUUUCAAUUCUUUACAAUCCAAGAUUAUAUGGAAUGGACUGGGAACAAAGAGAGGGACUGGCAUUUAAAGUCUUUUAUACACUUUGGAACAAAUGUUAUUCUCCAUUCAUCCUGACACUAAAUUGGUUAGCCAAACCCAAAGAUCUACUAAUAAUCCUGCUUUGGCAUGGGAGAAUGAGUGAGAUAAGGAGGCAAUAGAGGAGAUGAAUCGACAAAUGGAAGGAAUAGAAUUCUGGUUGAUGUCCUUGUCUCUAAGCUGUAGCAGCAAGUAUUUAUCCUAAUCAUGUGGUGUUAGCACGGAGAUGAGAAAGAGAGAAAGACAACAUCAUGCUUUGCUGUCUGUGUGUGAACUGAGUAACAGCUGUGAAGGAUCAGUCACCAAAAGACUUUGAAAGAAGAGGCUUGAUUGGUCACGGUAAUGAUGCUCCCCUGGCCAUGGAAGUUUAAUUGGGAGAAAAGAACAUCUGCUUAUACGAAAACAUAUUAUAUUCAGCCAUCCCUGCCCUGACUUUGGCCUUUAAAAACAGUGGCAUUAAUUAUCUCAACAAAUGAAUCUUCGGGAUAAAAAUAAUCUAAAUAUUAUUUUACGCUUACUACAUAUUUGCAACGUGCUAAGCUCUUUAUGGUUGCUACCACAAAAAACAUUUAUAAUAUGAGGUUGUUUCCGUAUUUUGGCUAUUGUGAAUAGUGCUGCAAUAAACAUGGAAGUGCUGAUAUAUCUUUGAGAUCUUGACUUCAAACAAAAGAAGAAAAUCUUGCAAUAUAUGACAACACGGAUUAACCUGGAGGACAUUGUGCUUAGUGAAGUUAGCCAGUCACAGACUGACAAGUACUGCACGAUUCCACUUAUGAAGACUACAGUUCCUAUCUUCACAGGUGGCUGUUAGCUCUAAAUGAACUCAUUUAUUUUGAAAGCAUGAUUUAAAGUAUAGUUUUAAACUAUAAGCAUUUCAGAAGUGAUGACCCAUGACUCAAAUCUCAAAAAUAAAUGCUACAGUUCACAGUUGGAAUAUGGACACAAGAAAAAUAAUAGGUGAGUAAAAAAAGAAUUUUUACCACAGAACAAAAGUUUAUUAAACACAAUUAUGAAUGAAUAUUAAUGUCAACAGAGUGCUUUUUAGAUGCCUCCUAAGCUUUGUAUGCACCUAAAAGAGAUACAAGUCAGCUCAGCUGCUAAGGAAUAGGCAGACCAGAAUGCAGUCAGAGAAAUAAACAGUUGAACAGAUAAUUCCAAAAGGAUGUGAUAAGUGUUAUGGGGGGAAUUCGGAGAAAGUGCCGAGGCAUCACACAGGAGAGACCAGCUGUCCCUGGCAUAGCUGGUGGAGAUCUUAUUAAACAACGAUACUAAGGCUGACUCUUGACUAUGAAACGAAUUUCACAGAGAAACAAGCAAAAAAGCAAUAGAAAUAUUAAUUUGUGUACCCUAUUUCAUGACAAUUAUAUACAAAAACAGAACGUUCAAAGCCUUAGGCAAUAAAACUGAUAUUUCUUGCAACAGGCUUUGGCCAAAAAAGAGUGCAGUUCUGUGAUGAAUAUCAGCUUCAUCAACAUGCCCCAGGCACCGUGAUGUCCCUCCUCUGCUCUGCUGCAUAACAGGGUGGAGACCAAAUCCAACAGUAUGAACAAGCAUCCAUCAAAACCACAGUUCUAUUAUUGAGACCAUUUCUGAUUGAAUUUCCUCAGCAGACUAUCCAAGUCGUCAUGUUCAUCAAGGUAUUCAAUUUAAAUGACCAUUAAAACGAAAUUAAGUUGGUAUUAACCUUGUCUUUUCAGAUGAUGCCACUGAAAGGUAAACAUACCAUUCUGACAUGCAUGAAAAUGAAACGACAAAUUGAUACACGCAGUGCUUGGAAUGGAUGGAGUCCUUCUAAUGAGUGAUUACCUGUGGUAUAACUAUAUUGAUUGUGUUUGUACAUGUCAAAUGGGGCUGGCGAGGAUGAACUUGAAGAAAUCAAUCUUGGAACCUGCUAGGACAGCAGCCUCCUGGUUUCACAGUACUAAAUCAUGACUUCAAAAUUUUGAAGUAAAAGAAAACUGCAAAACUUUGUAAAGGUACCAGUCUCUUCCUGACACUAUUUGCCUUGGCAAAAGAUUCACUGUCAACUUAAAAGACUAACAUGUGCUCAGAUGAUGAUUUGUGGAGGACAGAUAAUUAUGAGUACAUUUAGAAAUACACACUCUUCCAAACCCUGCUCUUUCCAUAUAAUGAAGUUAUUUAUUUCUAUUUUUUAUUUAUUUUUCUAAUAAUUACAAACAUACUUUGGAGACCCACAUUCCUGUAUUAUUCUUUCAACAUACUGAAGAAGAGUUAUUUCUAUGCUUCUUUCUAUGUGUUGGGCUUAAGAUUUAUUAGAAGGAAUGUGUAAAAACAAAGGCAGCAAAGUUUCUAUUUUUAUUGGGAGUCACUCCCGGAGUAAGUGGGGAUAGUUGUGCACACACACACACACACAUUCAUGCACAAAGAAAGAGUGAUCAAGUGUAUAACACACUUUUAGCAGUGUUUUGCUGGAAGAAUAAAGUAUAACUCCUUGUCCGCCCUUUUAUUAUACUGGGGUUCACACUAAGAGAGUCUGAGGACCUGUGGAACUCCCAUUUGCAUGAAAUAACUUUUGCAUCUAUUCUGGAGGAAAACUUCCUAAGGCAGAUUUGGACAGAAAAUUGCUAUCAGCGCAAAUAAAACAAUGCAAAGCCUACUCCGGGGAACGUUGCUCUGCCACCACUACUGAAAUGGGUCAUCCCCUUGGUUUCUGAAUAAAGAAUUAUGAAACCUGGGGCUAGAAUGCUCAGGGAGGAAUUUACCAAUCCAAAUCUUCCCCUUAUGGUAGAGAACAAACUUUCAAGGUUUGUUCUCCACUGUAAGUGUGCGAGGGCUGUUAGGGACCGUAAUAUGGCUGCCGGAGACUGGUGUGUGUACCUCCUUGACUGUACGUCUCAUUUCCAGUUAUGAUUUUACAAUCAUCUCUUUCUCAACCUUUGCUUUUAAAUAUAGGAAGGUACGGCUCACCAUGGAGCGGACAUUUUCUUCAGGAGCGGUACGGUGUCUAAGAUAUGCAGAGGUUGUAUUCUAGUCCUAUAACUCAAUUCUCAAACACAUGGCUUUUAGCCAGGGAUAUCCUAAAGGAAAAUUACACUAUAUGCAACCCCUCCUUACUCCUCAAAUAUUAUCUAUAUUAAACACAGCUGAAAUUUGAGAGUGUCCUUACAGGUGAAAAUUUAACAAUUUAACAAAAGGACACUGCUGAAUGUGUGGGGACAAAGGAAGGAUGAAUCUUUCAUCAUGACAAAAGACUACUUGCCACAUUCUCCCUUAACUUAGAAAAACAGAAAAGAGGCUGGGCGUGGUGGCUCCUGCCUGUAACCUCAGCACUUUGGGAG